rnacentral:snoRNA from 1 species
AAGAUCAUACUUCACAGGAUCAUUUCUGUAGUGUGUCUUACUUUCCCUCUUACCUAAGUAAGAGUGGGAGCAACCACGAUGAGGAGGUAUAGCUUCCUUCCCCGAGCGUGAGGAAGACUCGAGAAAUUGACUUUUGUUUCAAGUUCUCAGUCAUCGAUGAUCGUUCACCCUUUGUACUAAGUACGAGGGGGUCGGGAAGUGGAGCUUUCUGAGUGGC